AAAGCAUGACUGCAAUUUUUUGGAAGAAGAGGGCAUCAUGCACUACUCUCUCCUUCUCGGAAUGCAUAUUUGUUCUGCACCUUUUGAGGCUAUUCUUCAGGUUCACCACUCUUCGGCAAAUUCAGCAGGCACAGAUGAUUGCGACAAGAGUUCAGAUGGAGCUGAAUCAGAGCACAGCCAUGCAGAUCAAAGUUUUCCAUCAGAUGGCGACGACUCAUCCUCAUCCUCUCCUACAGAAACUGAAGGUAUACUCGGUGUCAGGAUGGCAGCCCGGGCGGUUGGCUCUCGGAAAAAGGAAAGCAAUUUGGCACCACCAACUCAUGCCACGGGAAAAAAUCAACUCAACAAUGUGUUCCUCUUCUUGGGGGUAAUCGACAUCCUUCAACCUUACAGCAUGCUUAAGCACAUGGAACACGUUAUAAAGUCUCUGCACGCAGACUCUCCGUCGGUCUCGGGAUUAAAUCCCAGAGCGUACUCGAACCAUUUUCAGGAGUAUCUCUCGAAAAUAUUUCCAGAAAAUUUUGAUGUCUCUGAUGCCAACAUGCUUUAGAACAACUAUUUGAGGCUCACCUGCAAUGGAACAGCUUUUACUUUUGACUACAAAAGCUGUCAUCGGACGUGGAAAAACUUUACUUACUGUAAGAAACUAUUUAUGCAAAUGUAAACUAUUUAUGAACAUAUGGAACAGUUAGCAAAGCUUUGCAUGAGUUCGAUUGUUGGAACACAAGUUUGGCAUUCAUCUUAUCAUGUCUUUGUUAUUAGGUAAAUAAAGUGUGCAAGAUUUAUGUCAAGGAAUCUUUUUGAUACAAAUAUGGCUAGAAAUC